UUUAUUUCCUUUUCUUGCCUUCUUUCCCCCCACAGAUUUGUUCUAUGCACCUGACUAUAUGAGUCCCCCAUGAAGUCCUCAGACAUAGUUCUUAGGGGCUGACUGGAAACGCAGCAGAAUUAUUGAGUGAGCAGUGACUGAACCUCUUUACCGUGCUGAUAAUAGGCCAAUUUACAAAGCGGAAAACAUCUGUUCCAUUGAUAAUGGGAUGUUUGCCCAGCUACAUUACAGGUGCAUGGCUGAAUAUGUUGACUUUGCAGCUAAUGGACAUUUUGCAAAGCAUUUUGCAUUUACAUGUUGAGUUCCAGAGCUAGUUGUAGUGACCCAGAAAUCCCCAGUCUAGAUUAAACCCGCUACCUCUUGUUUGUCAGCAAGGGGAAGAAUUUUAAUUCCCCCAGGGAUGCCAUACCUUUUGAAGAUGUUAUGUGGACUUCUUAUUAAAUUGAGGAUACUGAGGCAUGGGAAGGAGUAGCUGACCAUGCUUCAUGGGGGCGGAAGGAAUGAGUUUGUCGACAAGGAAAUAGAUAAUUCUCUUGUGUGAGCAUCGUGCAGCGAGAGUUGCUUUUGAACUAUCGAAGGACGUCUGCAAUGAGUGUGUAUGUCUAUCUCCUUAUUUCUCUUGGAAGGAAUAUUGGCAGUUCUGUAGUGGAGGGGAAAUGUGGGGGAGAGAAUAACUCCAGGCCUUUAUUAUCUUCUUACUUCUUCUGCGUAAUCACAAGGAUAACUGACAAAAACCACCUUGCUCUGUUUGGAGAGGUACUCUUGCACACCUCAGAACAUUUGCGGCAUAAAAUGUUUCAGGAUUUCAGCAGGAAGAUAUAACAACAAUACAUCAACAAAAGGAACAAGAAAUAGAGCUCCCAUUCCUGCCCAUCUUCUUCAGCAACUGUUUGGACAUUUCAUGCUGUUUCUUCAGUCCACAGAGCAGCUCCAUUAGUCCCACAAAAUAUCCAGUCAUGUCAGGUCAAUUCUGUCUUGAAAGACUCAUGGAUAGCUGGCAGCCUUCUGACACCAGCCUGUAUAUUUAUAUAAACUAAUAAAGCAAAACUGCAUUUCGCCAAAACCAGCAUAACUGUCCUGAUUUCGCAAUGCCCGCUUCUCACUUUCCUUUACUCUUUCAUAAUUCUAGGGAAAGUGGUGCCAUCGCACAGUAAUGUUUUGCCGUCACCAUUCUUGCCACUACUAAUAAAAAAAAAGGUUAUUAAAUCUGUCUUCACACAUACCCUCCAACAUUUCUCUGAUGAAAAUAGGGACGUCCCAUUCCAUAAGGAUAAUUUUACUAUUUAUACCCCACACAUCUUACUGGGUUGCCUCAGCCACUCUGGGCAGCUUCCAACAUACAUAAAAACAUAAUAAAACAUUAAACAUUUAAAAAAUCCUUCCCUUUGGAGCAUUGCCUUCAGACGGCUCAGGGGUCAGAUAAUUCCAUACCCUCCAACAUUUCUCCAAUGAAAAUAGGGAUACUGUCCUUGGAAAAUAUGGACACUUGGAGGGUCUUUCUCACUAACCGUCAGGUGAGGGAGGGGACCAUUCCAGCACAGAACAGCUUCCUUUGUUAUACUAACAACCCAUACAUAGGCAUUAACUCAUGAAGAAGCUUGCCUAGCUAGUUCAACAAUGGAGA